GACGAACGCUGGCGGCGUGCCUAACACAUGCAAGUCGAACGGAGUUUUUAUGGAAUGCGGCUUCGGCCAAAUGAAGUUUAAACUUAGUGGCGGACGGGUGAGUAACGCGUGAGCAACCUGCCUUACAGAGGGGGACAACAGUUGGAAACGACUGCUAAUACCGCAUAACGUGCCGGAAGGACAUCCUUUUGGUACCAAAGGAGCAAUCCGCUGUAAGAUGGGCUCGCGUCCGAUUAGAUAGUUGGUGAGGUAACGGCCCACCAAGUCGACGAUCGGUAGCCGGACUGAGAGGUUGAACGGCCACAUUGGGACUGAGACACGGCCCAG
rnacentral:rRNA from 1 species